rnacentral:rRNA from 1 species
GAUGAACGCUGGCGGCGUGCCUAAUACAUGCAAGUCGAGCGAAAGGACGAGACUCUUGCGUCUCGGAUGUUAGCCGAGGACGGGAGAAAAACACGAGUAUACCCUACCUAUCAGACUGAGAUCACUACGAAAAACGGGAGAAUAUCCGGUAUGAUAUUUUGCACCGCAUGGUGGAAUGGAAAGAUUCGGUGUUUCUGGCACGACUCGAGGGAUACGCGCUGCUUUAGCUAGUUGGGAAGGUAACGGCUUACCAAGGCAACGAUGCAUAGCCGACCUGAGAGGGUGAUCGGCCACACUGGAACUGAGACACGGUCCAGACGCCUACGGGAGGCAGCAGUAGGGAAUCUUCCGCAAUGGGCGAAAGCCUGACGGAGCAACGCCGCGUGAGUGAUGAAGGUCUUCGGAUCGUAAAACUCUGUUAUUAGGGAAGAACAUAUGUGUAAGUAACUGUGCACAUCUUGACGGUACCUAAUCAGAAAGCCACGGCUAACUACGUG